UACAAUCCAGUGAGGAUUCUAAUUUCUCCACAUCUUUGGUAAUAAGUUUUGGCAAAGAUGUGGAAAAAUUGGAAUCCUCAUUGGAUUGGUUAUAAUAC
rnacentral:pre_miRNA from 8 species